AAUGGGUCAGCGACUUAUAUUCUGUAGCAAGGUUAACCGAAUAGGGGAGCCGAAGGGAAACCGAGUCUUAACUGGGCGUUAAGUUGCAGGGUAUAGACCCGAAACCCGGUGAUCUAGCCAUGGGCAGGUUGAAGGUUGGGUAACACUAACUGGAGGACCGAACCGACUAAUGUUGAAAAAUUAGCGGAUGACUUGUGGCUGGGGGUGAAAGGCCAAUCAAACCGGGAGAUAGCUGGUUCUCCCCGAAAGCUAUUUAGGUAGCGCCUCGUGAAUUCAUCUCCGGGGGUAGAGCACUGUUUCGGCAAGGGGGUCAUCCCGACUUACCAACCCGAUGCAAACUGCGAAUACCGGAGAAUGUUAUCACGGGAGACACACGGCGGGUGCUAACGUCCGUCGUGAAGAGGGAAACAACCCAGACCGCCAGCUAAGGUCCCAAAGUCAUGGUUAAGUGGGAAACGAUGUGGGAAGGCCCAGACAGCCAGGAUGUUGGCUUAGAAGCAGCCAUCAUUUAAAGAAAGCGUAAUAGCUCACUGGUCGAGUCGGCCUGCGCGGAAGAUGUAACGGGGCUAAACCAUGCACCGAAGCUGCGGCAGCGACACUAUGUGUUGUUGGGUAGGGGAGCGUUCUGUAAGCCUGUGAAGGUGUACUGUGAGGUAUGCUGGAGGUAUCAGAAGUGCGAAUGCUGACAUAAGUAACGAUAAAGCGGGUGAAAAGCCCGCUCGCCGGAAGACCAAGGGUUCCUGUCCAACGUUAAUCGGGGCAGGGUGAGUCGACCCCUAAGGCGAGGCCGAAAGGCGUAGUCGAUGGGAAACAGGUUAAUAUUCCUGUACUUGGUGUUACUGCGAAGGGGGGACGGAGAAGGCUAUGUUGGCCGGGCGACGGUUGUCCCGGUUUAAGCGUGUAGGCUGGUUUUCCAGGCAAAUCCGGAAAAUCAAGGCUGAGGCGUGAUGACGAGGCACUACGGUGCUGAAGCAACAAAUGCCCUGCUUCCAGGAAAAGCCUCUAAGCAUCAGGUAACAUCAAAUCGUACCCCAAACCGACACAGGUGGUCAGGUAGAGAAUACCAAGGCGCUUGAGAGAACUCGGGUGAAGGAACUAGGCAAAAUGGUGCCGUAACUUCGGGAGAAGGCACGCUGAUAUGUAGGUGAAGCGACUUGCUCGUGGAGCUGAAAUCAGUCGAAGAUACCAGCUGGCUGCAACUGUUUAUUAAAAACACAGCACUGUGCAAACACGAAAGUGGACGUAUACGGUGUGACGCCUGCCCGGUGCCGGAAGGUUAAUUGAUGGGGUUAGCGCAAGCGAAGCUCUUGAUCGAAGCCCCGGUAAACGGCGGCCGUAACUAUAACGGUCCUAAGGUAGCGAAAUUCCUUGUCGGGUAAGUUCCGACCUGCACGAAUGGCGUAAUGAUGGCCAGGCUGUCUCCACCCGAGACUCAGUGAAAUUGAACUCGCUGUGAAGAUGCAGUGUACCCGCGGCAAGACGGAAAGACCCCGUGAACCUUUACUAUAGCUUGACACUGAACAUUGAGCCUUGAUGUGUAGGAUAGGUGGGAGGCUUUGAAGUGUGGACGCCAGUCUGCAUGGAGCCGACCUUGAAAUACCACCCUUUA
rnacentral:rRNA from 1 species